ensembl:lncRNA
GAAUGAGUGGAUGAAUUUGGAAUCUCUCUCUGUAUUACCAGGUUUACAAGAGUUGUCCUGGAUUUUAAAGAGAAUAAGAUUGUAAUGAGCUCAAGAUACCGCUUUAAUUACUAAAAGUACAGAAUUCAAUUAUAAUUGGAGAGGUAAAUGAUAAUUCAAUACAACACAAAAGCAAUUACAAGGGAGUUUUUGAUUAAUCACCAAAGGAACAACAAGGAUAGUAAAUAUUCUAGGAUUGCUGUGGAAGAGUUGUUAUUGUUUGCUUUUCCUUCAUUCUCAAAGAGGACCAUGACAUUACAGAAGUGAUGCUAUAAUAUGCAAGUGAAUUGGAUUUAAGUGAGGGAGGGCUGCGCAAGGCCACCUGCCUCACCUUCCCCUCCAGAACAACUGGGUUCAGUGGCAAGACAGAUCAAGAUGACUAGAGAUGACCCUGGAUGAAAUAUGAAACUGUGGCCUUUUCAUUCAGUGAUUAAGAUCAGGUAGCAUUUGAGGCAAAGAAUCUCCUCUUUCAUUUAGUCCAAAAAAAAUCUAACUGAAUGAAUGAAUGAAUCUCCAAGGAAGAAGACACUCAGGAUUUCUGGCCAAAGCAAAAAUGACUAUUAUUUACAUUGGAGCUCUUUGCAAAAUGGACUGACUAUCAGUAUCUAUUCUGACAUCAAAACUUGACCAUUUUUUUCCUGGGAUAAAAUUGCCUUCUAAAGACUGUAAGAUGUUACCAUCUUCCUUGCCACUGGUCCUCUGGAAGAGAAGCACCUUAACAAUUCCUGAGCCUCAAUUUGUCUUCUCUCUCCAUAAAAAGUCCAUCAGGAUAUUUCAAUCUAGCCUGCAGUUGAACCCUACAGAUUCAGGGCUAAAGUUUCCUCUGAACCAGCUAGCUCCUGGGUUCCCCAUUGCUAUUUCUGUAGAGGUAGGUCUACUUCAAGGUUAAAUCCAAAUCAAAGGGUCUUUCUUCAGAUCUUUUUGGACUGGAGGAUCCCUAUUCUUUCUCAAGUCUUAUUUAUUUAUCACUGGUCUAUGUUUGCCCUGAGGUGCAAUUUUGUUCUGUUUGUAGGAGAAAUCUGGAAAGCUUGAAAUUUUGUGACUUACUCUGCCAUCUGCCAUCUUAUCCUGAUGUGUAAGAUUGACAUCAGAAACUGGGU